UAAUUGAAUCAGUUCUCAGAAUUUGAAUCGCUAUUUUGUUUUUUCCGUUUUCGACAUGAGCUCUUAUUCCUCGAGCUCAUUCCUUAUCACUCAAUCCUUGGUAAUUGAGUGCUUGUGUUGUUUUCUGAAAUUAAAUUGGUAUCAUUUUGGAGCGUCUCUUCACAGUUCCGACGAAAUAUUCAAGUGCGCUACCGACCUAUGAUUCCUAUACAAUUGCAGCAACCGAUCGCGUGAUUCUGGGCUAAAUAAAAUUUGUUUACUUCGGCUCUUUGUUGUUCUACGAAAUGGUCACGCGCGCUAUAGACUGACGAUUCCGGGGAAUUGAUGUUUUACAUUUUUUCAUGGAACUGUAAAUUGUUUUUCAUCAUUUUGUUUUUCGUUCUCUUUUUUCAUGGAAUUUAACGGUCAUACGGGAAGGAACAAAGGGUCAGUGAUUGAACUAUUUGCCAACCGAGCGAGCAUCACUGUGACAGAUAAGGGAAAAAACCCAAAUGAGAAUCCACUGAUGUCGCUGAUCAUUUCUCGGAUGUACAAUUUUUUAUCAGUUUGCUCACUCUUACUGUUCGGUGUCGUAUACGACUGCGUACGCUAUAUGAAGUAUAUAAAGCUUUAUAGGGGAUUUACAAUCUUCAUUUAAACAGUUUCAUCAGUCGAACACGGACGUCGGUGAUUUCAACAAAAUAAUACUCAUUCUGCUGAAAAGAAUACUCGAAGUUUGAUUCUGCUCUCUACACGAUGAAGGCCGCAUUGCUUGUCCUGUUUGCCGUUGGCUUGUCAUCAGCCAGAACUAUAACUUACCACAACGUAACUAUAUCUAGCGAUCAACCCAUUUCUGACGACGAUUAAAAAAUUUGGCUCAAUCCAUCGGAGUGUUCGAUCGAAACUUGGACGACUACAUAAACUGGGUGUCUUUUGACAAAAUGUUUGAAGAAAUGAUCAAUCAUAGUGGGGAAUAUAGCGUCUGGAAUAUAGGGAAUAUUAGUGACUAUUUUCUUAAAAGCCGUGAUCUUUAUUACGACGCAGUAGCUAGUGUAUUCGAAUGGUGUUCUGUAAUCGACAUUAUGAUGACGGCAUUUGUUAACUUAUAUGAAGAUUAUAGCGACGAAACUAAAGAGCAACAAAAAGAGUUGAUUGUAGCAAGUUUAGAUGAGGGAAUAGCCAGAAUGGGAAAAGCUAUCAGUCGUUUAGAUGACAGUCGAAAUCAUGUUAAUACUGGUAUUGUAGACUUGACGAACGUCAUGUUUAACGUAUCUGCAGCUUUUAGAAAAGACGAAAGAGAGCAUACGACUCAAAUUAAUAAUUUAAAUAAGAACGUAAUGAAUUCUUUGAGUCAAAGUUUUUUUGGGGGAAUAAUAACCCUCAUUAUGACGGAAAAAGUAUAUAAACCCGAAGCACGGAAAAAAUUCGAGAAAAUUGAGGAAUCAUUUAAUUUCAUGAGAGAUAAAAUUCUAAUCGCGAUCAGAAAGGCCUUGGAAAUUAAGGAAAAAUUGUCACAAGAAGUAAUAUACAUAUCAGGAUUAAGAGGAGCGGUUAAGGGAAAUAAAUUCAUUUUCUCUGGAUCGUUUCGAAUUCGUAUUGUAAAAAAUGCUGUUAAUAAAUUGAAAGGUCAAUGCAGCGAUUACCAAACAAGACAUGGAAAAAAGCAAUAAGAAAAUAUUGCCAAUUUAUAUUUGAAAUUACAUCAUGUUGGUAAUUUUUUAUUUCUUUUCCCUCAAGUAAUGUCAUAAAUUGUACGAAAAAAGAUGUUUCAAUAAAGUUUUUACCUCAAUUUAUCCUACUCAA